CCCUGGUUAGUUCAGUUGGUAGAGCACUCCACGGUAAAUGGAGAGGUCCCGGGUUCGACACCCGGACCAGGCG
rnacentral:tRNA from 1 species